GAUGAAGAACGUAGCAAAAUGCGAUACUUGGUGUGAAUUGCAGAAUCCCGUGAACCAUCGAGUUUUUGAACGCUAGUUGCGCCCGAAGCCUUUUGGCCGAGGGCACGUCUGCCUGGGCGUCACGCAUCGCGUCGCCCCCCACAAUGCUCCGUAAAGGGAACAUGUGUUUUGGGGGCGGAUAUUGGUCUCCCGUGCUCAUGGCGUGGUUGGCCGAAAUAGGAGUCCUUUCGAUGGACGCACGAACUAGUGGUGGUCGUAAAAACCCUCGUCUUUUGUUUCGUGCUGUUGCUCGCAAAGUAAACUCUUUAAAAACCCCAAUGUGUCGUCUCUUGACGACGCUUCGACCGCGACCCCAGGUCAGGCGGGACUACCCGCUGAGUUUAAGCAUAUCAAUAAGCGGAGGA
rnacentral:misc_RNA from 1 species